GACGAACGCUGGCGGCGUGCUUAACACAUGCAAGUCGAACGGUAAGGCCUUUCGGGGGACGCGAGUGCCGAACGGGAGAGUAACACGUAGGUGAUCUUCACUGCACUUCGGCAUAGGCACGAGUAACUGGAUCUAAUACCGGAUACGGCUACGCGCUCCAGCCCCUUUGGGGGAGAGGUUUAUCGGUGGAGGAUGGGCCCGCGGCCUAUCAGCUUGUUGGUGGGGUAAUGGCCUACCAAGGCCACGACGGGUAGCCGGCCUGAGAGGGCGACCGGCCACACUGGGACUGAGACACGGCCCAGACUCCUACGGGAGGCAGCAGUGGGGAAUAUUGCACAAUGGGCGGAAGCCUGAUGCAGCGACGCCGCGUGCGGGAUGACGGCCUUCGGGUUGUAAACCGCUUUCAGCAGGGACGAAGCGUGAGUGACGGUACUGGCAGAAGAAGCACCGGCUAACUACGUG
rnacentral:rRNA from 1 species